ensembl:lncRNA
UGGCGCUUAAGAGGCUCGACGGUCCCACCGAGAGUUGAAUGGGAUCCCAGCGUGAUCUGGCACACGGGCGGGAAGGGAGCGCAACACACGUCCUGGACGAGGUUUGAGCCAAAAGCACCGUGCUGCCCGACUUUCAUCGACAUUCCUUCUCCUGCCCGGCCCGCAGGACCGAGCCAACCGAUUCGCGGUGCGUAAUUACGCAUCGGGACGACACACAUCGGCUGUGCUUUUCGGCGUGGAAACCCCGCGGACAAAGAAAGGCAGGCGGGCUGUAGUAUAAGCUACUUGAGAAGAGAGGACUACAGUUCGAGGAGAAAUAGGGAAGUCUGGAGUCGGAAGUGAUUUGUCUAUUUUUUGUUGUCGGAGAUGUAAGUUGCGGCCAGGAUUUCGGGGAAAAGGCGAAUCUGUCUCCUGGAAAUCAAGGAGAAAAAGACAACGUGGAGCGGUGGUGAGUGGAAUCCGUCCUAAAAAGCAUCCAGAUCCUCGGAGCAUGGGUGCCCGCGUGGUCCCUCAUCAUCAUCAUCAUCAUCCCGUGAGCCUCGAUCCACCGUCAUCGCAGCAAGCGUACGGUUGCUCAGAGGGAGCGAAACGGCUCAUCGACCUGCGAACGGUUCGCGAAUGCUCCGCUUCAUUACACCAGGAGAGCAGCAAUGACCUCAAGGUCCCGGACCAUGUAUGCAUAUCUGUAGC